rnacentral:rRNA from 1 species
CUACGGGAGGCACCAGUGGGGAAUAUUGCACAAUGGGCGCGAGCCUGAUGCAGCCAUGCCGCGUGUAUGAAGAAGGCCUUCGGGUUGUAAAGUACUUUCAGCGGGGAGGAAGGGAGUAAAGUUAAUACCUUUGCUCAUUGACGUUACCCGCAGAAGAAGCACCGGCUAACUCCGUGCCAGCAGCCGCGGUAAUACGGAGGGUGCAAGCGUUAAUAGGAAUUACUGGGCGUAAAGCGCACGCAGGCGGUUUGUUAAGUCAGAUGUGAAAUCCCCGGGCUCAACCUGGGAACUGCAUCUGAUACUGGCAAGCUUGAGUCUCGUAGAGGGGGGUAGAAUUCCAGGUGUAGCGGUGAAAUGCGUAGAGAUCUGGAGGAAUACCGGUGGCGAAGGCGGCCCCCUGGACGAAGACUGACGCUCAGGUGCGAAAGCGUGGGGAGCAAACAGGAUUAGAUACCCUUGUAGUC